GAUGAACGCUGGCGGCGUGCUUAACACAUGCAAGUCGAACGAACGGAAUGGAGCUUGCUCCAUGAAGUUAGUGGCGGACGGGUGAGUAACGCGUGGGUAACCUGCCCUAUGCAGGGGGAUAACGUUUGGAAACGAACGCUAAUACCGCAUAAACUAUGGGAAGUCGCAUGACUUCUAUAGUAAAGAUUUAUCGGCAUAGGAUGGACCCGCGUUGGAUUAGCUAGUUGGUGAGAUAACAGCCCACCAAGGCGACGAUCCAUAGCCGGCCUGAGAGGGUGAACGGCCACAUUGGGACUGAGACACGGCCCAAACUCCUACGGGAGGCAGCAGUGGGGAAUAUUGCACAAUGGGCGCAAGCCUGAUGCAGCAACGCCGCGUGAAGGAUGAAGGUCUUCGGAUUGUAAACUUCUAUCAGUAGGGAAGAAUAAAUGACGGUACCUAACUAAGAAGCUCCGGCUAACUACGUGCCAGCCGCCGCCGUAAUAC
rnacentral:rRNA from 1 species